UGGGGAAUAUUGCGCAAUGGGGGGAACCCUGACGCAGCCAUGCCGCGUGAAUGAAGAAGGCCUUCGGGUUGUAAAGUUCUUUCGGUAUUGAGGAAGGUUGAUGUGUUAAUAGCACAUCAAAUUGACGUUAAAUACAGAAGAAGCACCGGCUAACUCCGUGCCAGCAGCCGCGGUAAUACGGAGGGUGCGAGCGUUAAUCGGAAUAACUGGGCGUAAAGGGCACGCAGGCGGUUAUUUAAGUGAGGUGUGAAAGCCCCGGGCUUAACCUGGGAAUUGCAUUUCAGACUGGGUAACUAGAGUACUUUAGGGAGGGGUAGAAUUCCACGUGUAGCGGUGAAAUGCGUAGAGAUGCGGAGGAAUACCGAAGGCGAAGGCAGCCCCUUGGGAAUGUACUGACGCUCAUGUGCGAAAGCGUGGGGAGCAAACAGGAUUAGAUACCCUGGUAGUCCACGCUGUAAACGCUGUCGAUUUGGGGGUUGGGGUUUAACUCUGGCGCCCGUAGCUAACGUGAUAAAUCGACCGCCUGGGGAGUACGGCCGCAAGGUUA
rnacentral:rRNA from 1 species